GAUGAACGCUGGCGGCGUGCCUAAUACAUGCAAGUCGAGCGAACAGACGAGGAGCUUACUCCUCUGACGUUAGCGGCGGACGGGUGAGUAACACGUGGAUAACCUACCUAUAAGACUGGGAUAACUUCGGGAAACCGGAGCUAAUACCGGAUAACAUGUUGAACCGCAUGGUUCAGCAGUGAAAGACGGUCUUGCUGUCACUUAUAGAUGGAUCCGCGUCGCAUUAGCUAGUUGGUAAGGUAACGGCUUACCAAGGCAACGAUGCGUAGCCGACCUGAGAGGGUGAUCGGCCACACUGGAACUGAGACACGGUCCAGACUCCUACGGGAGGCAGCAGUAGGGAAUCUUCCGCAAUGGGCGAAAGCCUGACGGAGCAACGCCGCGUGAGUGAAGAAGGUCUUCGGAUCGUAAAACUCUGUUAUUAGGGAAGAACAAAUGUGUAAGUAACUAUGCACGUCUUGACGGUACCUAAUCAGAAAGCCACGGCUAACUACGUG
rnacentral:rRNA from 1 species